rnacentral:rRNA from 1 species
AUGCUCCAGAUUGAAGAACCGGUUAAGUCUCGAGAGAUAUAUGAUGUUGAGUACAAUGUCGGUGGAAAGAAGACUAGCACUAACCAAAAUGUCUCCAGGACAGAGGUGCUUUCUAACAAUAGAACACAUGAGACCCACCAAGGCAAACCUACUAUUGAACUAUAUGACAGAACAGAGAGUAAAUGGGAUGCGAAUUUAACACUCGACGCAGGUAUCAAAGCCCACAUCUCAGCUAGCUUGCCAUUUAUAAUGGAAGGUGGAGCUGAAAGCCAUCUGGACUUUCAUGGAGAGUAUAAUUGGGGAGAAACCAAGAUACAAGAAACUAAGCGCAUGUAUGAAUACUCAUAUCCUGUGCCUCCAAUGACUAAAGUGUUAUGUAGCAUAUUCACAAGAGAAGAUGUUGUUGAUGUUCCCUUCUCAUACAAGCAGAAGGAUGUUAUGUACAGUGGCAACAUAGUUAUCCGUCAGUUACAUGAUGGCAUCUAUCAAGGUACCAAGUCCUCUGAUAUCGACAUUGACAUCACUGAAGAAAGUAUCGCAUAA